UUGGGGAGAGGGUGUCGUGGGCAGUAAGUUUAAACAAAUUCAAGGCCAUUACUACCACUGCAGACCAAAAUAACUUAGGUCUGAGAGACCCCCUUAGAAAGAUACAAUGCCUUCCUCAUCUAAAGGGAGCUAAUACCAGAGUGAUCUCAGCGCUCGCGCAGUUUUGAGAGAGGGUCCCGAAAACCGCCGGAGACCAGGUGUCGCGGACGGGCCCCGGGCUAAACUCUCGUCUGGUGAAGUGAAGAGCGCAAAGUCUCCAGGCCCAGCGCGCUUUCGCGGGGCAGGCCGGACACCCUAGCCCCGGGCCGGGCUCGCUCUUCUCUGAAGCCCUGGAGCGGGCAAGGGGCACCAUUCUGGCCACAGGAACUCUAGUUUCAGCAGCCGCAGCCCGCCAGCGCUGGCUCGGACCGGGGCCUCCUCUGGGAGAGUAGGAGAGCGAAAAAAUCAACCUCCACCUUGGAUUUCAGAUCGAGGAAAGGAAGCCAAAGCAAAGGUGUGGUUACACAGGACAUCCAUAGACAAACCGUUGCCUCUCUAAGUGGGCCUGAGCUUUGCGGCUCCAGAAGCGCGAGGCGCGUUUGGUGCGGACGCGGGGGCGUGGGAGUCAUUGCUCUCCCCGCAGCCCUGGCCGAGCUCUCUGCUGUCCUCCCGAGUUUGGGCCAGGGACCACGGCUCACUCCCUAACGCCCUCGCGAGGACGGCUGCCCGUCGGGCCAAGGGCGCCCCGGGCUGGAGGCCGGAGCAAGACGGCCCCGCGGGACUCGGGAGCCUUGGUAAGGCGGAGGCUCAGACCCCGUUCACGAAAACGCCUGGCUCCUCCAGAAUUUGUCAUGUCUUAAGCAGCUCCGAGAAGGCUCCGCUGGCUCUUGGGGAACCCCGCUGUGCGGCUCACCCCCGUUUGUCUCUCUCAAGCUCUCGCCCUCCUCCCCUGGUCCUCCCUUUUCCAGAUCCCCUGCCCUGCCCGAGGCCCGGGCCGCGCGGGCUGAGCCCAAUACGCCCGGAGAAGAGCGCCGGAGCCCCCUGCUGGCCGGACGCGGCAGGCGCGGCGGCCCGCUCGGUCCCCUCCGCCCCGCGGGCGCUGCCCAGCCCGGACCCGCCUCCACCCUCCAGCGCCCUGGCGCUGGGGGCGUGCUAAAAGCAACAGAAAACAAAACAAAAACAAACAAAGCGCCAAACCCCACUCUCACCUCGUCUACUGGUCAAAGGUGGUUUCCCUGCACAAGCCCUCUUCUUUUGUGUGGCACCAUGUGAGAUGUGCCUUUCACCUUCCACCAUGAUUGUCAGACCUCCCCAGCCACAUGGAACCCACUUGUCCCAACUACCUGCUUCUGGCUUUGUUUUGCCUAAAGCUGUGAAAAAUAUUAUUCAAACACAAGAUGGCAAACUGAAGAAUGAAAAAUCAACAUGUAUCAAAUGAUGAAGGGGAAAGAUGGAAGAAGCCUGGGUUCUUGAUGGCAUCAUUGAACCCUCCAUGCAAGGCCAGCAACCAAGCUGUCAUUAACUAAACCUAGAUGCAUUAUUAUGUUCAAGGAAUGAACCCUUAUCUGAUUAAAUUACUGCCAUCUAGGUUUUCUGUUACCUGCAGAUGAGCCAUCCUGAUGCUCAAUAUCAUAGAAAUAUUCUGAAAGUUAAAUGAAAUAAUGCAUGCAUAAUUGCUUAAAUAACUACAGAUAUACUGUUUAAAGAGGUAACACAGGGCAAUGGAAAAGGCAUUGGACUUGAACUCUGACUAAUUUAGCCUGGAAUCCUAGAAAGUCACCUUAUUAGACCUUCUUCAUAGGAAAAUGUAAACAAUCUCUGUGUGUCAGUUGUGUCUUCUCUAAAAUGGAAAUAAUUAGCAUCUUGGAGGAUUGUUGUAAAGGGUAAGGGAGAUAAGAUAUGGGAAAGCUCAUGGCAUAGGGCUUGAUACAUGUUAUUCAAUAAACAUAAGUUAGGGAGAAAAAUUAGCAAGUAGCAGUGUGGUCUGCCCCAAGUGAACACACUUCCUUUAUCUGAGUCAGGUUACACUGCCCCUUGAACCUUUACAACACUAUGCAAAGUUUAGAGCACUAGGAGAUACUUCAGAGUGUCCUAUUAAUAAAAGUAGUGGAAGGAUUUUUUUUUUCUAAUUCUGUGAAGAACGUUAAUGGUAGUUUAAUGGGACUGGCAUUGACUCUAUAGAUUACUUUGAAAAGUAUGGCCAUUUUCACAAUAUUGAUUCUUCCUAUCCAUGAGCAUGGAAUGUUUUUCCAUUUGUUUGUGUCCUCUCUGAUUUCUUUGAGGAUCAGUUUGUAGUUCUCUUUGAAGAGGUCCCUCACUUUCCUUCUCAGCUGUAUUCCUAGGUAUCUUUUUUUUUUUUUGGUAGCAAUUGUAAAUGGGAGUUCAUUCAUGAUUCAUCUCUCUGCUUGCCUAUUGAUGGUGUAUAGGAAUGCUAGAGAUUUUUGCACAUUGAUUUUGUAUCCUGAGGCUUUGCUGAAGUUGCUUAUCAGCUUAAGAAGCUUUUGGGCUGAGAAAAUGGGUUUUUUUAGGUAUAGGAUCACGCCAUCUGCAAACAAAGAUAAUUUGACUUCCUCUCUUUCUAUUUGGAUACUCUUUAUUUCUUUAUCUUGUCUGAUUGCCCUGGCCAGAACUUCCAAUACUAUAUUGAAUAAGAGUGGUAAAAGAGGGUAUUCUUGUCUUCUACCACUUUAAAAGCCAUAUGGAACCAAAAAUGAGCCCAAAUAGCCAAGACAAUCCUAAGCAAAAAGAACAAAACUGGAGGCAUCAUACUACCCAACUUCGAACUAUACUACAAGGUUAUAGUAACCAAAACAGCAUGAUAUUGGUACAAAAACAGGCACAUAGACCAAAGGAACAGAAAAUAGAACUCAGAAAUAAGACUGCACACCUACAACCAUCUGAUCUUCAACAAACCUGACAAAAACAAGCAAUGGGAAAAGAACUCCCUAUUUAAUAAAUGAUACUGGGAGAACUGGUUAGCCAUAUACAGAAAAUUGAAAUUGGACCCCUUCCUUACACCUUAUACAGAAAUUAACUCAAGAUGAAUUGAAGCCUUAAAUGUUGAUAUGGUUUGGCUCUGGAUCCCCACCCAAAUCUCACCUUGAAUUGUAAUCUCCAUAAUCCCCACAUGUCAAGGGCAGGACAGUGUGGAGGUAACUGGAUCAGGGUGGUGGUUUCCCCCAUGCUGUUCUCAUGAUAAUGAGUGAGUUCUCAUGAGAUCUGAUGGUUUUAUAAGGGGCUCUUUUCCCUUUGCUUAACACUUCUCCUUCCUUCCACCUUGUGAGGAAACUGCUUUGCUUCCCCUUUACCUUCUGCCAUGAUUGUAAGUUUCCUGAGGCUGUCCCAGCCAUGCUGAACUGUGAGUUAAUUAAACCUCUUUCCUUUCUAUUAAUAAAUACCCAGUCUCAGCAAUUCUUUAUAGCAAUAUGGAAACAGACUAAUACAAAUUUAAAACCCAAAACUAUAAAAACCCUAGAAGAAAAUCUAGGCAAUACCUUUCAGGCAAAGAUUUUGUUAUGAAAAUGCAAAAAGCAAUUGCAACAAAAGCAAAAAUUGACAAAUGGGAUCUAAUUAAAUAAACGAAUUUUGCAGAGCAAAAGAAACUAUCAUCAGAGUGAACAAAGUACAGAAUUGGAGAAAAUUUUUACAGUCUAUCCAUCUGACAAAGGUAUAAUAUCCAGAGUCUACAAGGAACUUAAUCAAACUACAGGAAAAACACAAACAACCCCAUUAAAAAGUGGGCAAAGGAUAUGAACAGACACUUCUCAAAAGAAGACAUACAUGGAGGAGCAAACACGAAAAAAAGCUCAACAUCACUGAUCAUUAGAAAAAUGCAAAUCAGAACCACAAUGAGAUACUAUCUCAUGCCAGUGAGAAUGGCGAUUAUUAAAAAGUCCAAAAAUAAUAGAUGCUGGCAAUGUUGUGGAGAAAAAGAAAUGCUUUUACACUGUUAGUGGGAGUAUAAAUUAGUUCAGCCAUUGUGGAAGACAAUGUGGCAAUUCCUCAAAGACUUAGAGGCAGAAAUACCAUUUGACCCAGCAAUCCCAUUACUGGGUAUACACCCAAAGGAAUAUAAAUCAUCCUGUUAUAAAGAUGCAUACACAGGCAUGCUCACUGCAGCACUCUUUACAGCAGCAAAGACAGGGAAUCAACCUAAAAGCCCAUCAAUGGUAGACUGGAAAAAGAAAAUGUGGUACACAUACACCAUAGAAUACUAUGCAGCCAUAAAAAGGAACAAGAUUUUGUUCUAUGCAGGGACAUGGAUGUAACUGGAAGCUGUUAUCCUCAGCAAACUAACGCAAAAGAAAACCAAACACUCCAUGUUCUCACUUAUAAGUGGGAGCUGAAUGAUGA